rnacentral:rRNA from 1 species
GGCUAUCAUGAAUAUAUUUAUAGUCUAGCCUGCUCACUGAUAUAGAAUAUUAAAUAGCCGCGGUAUCUUGACCGUGCAAAGGUAGCAUAAUCAUUAGUUUUUUAAUUGAAAACUCGUAUGAAUGGUUGGACAAGGAAGAAACUGUCUCGUCUGUUUAUAUUGAAUUUAACUUUUAAGUGAAAAGGCUUAAAUUUUCUAGAGGGACGAUAAGACCCUAUAAAGCUUUAUAAGUUUAAAAAUUUUACCUAUUUUUAUAUAAAGGUAGAUUUUGGAAUAAUUUAUUUGGUUGGGGCGACAAUGGUAUAAUUAAAAUAACUGCUAUAAAAUAUUAACAAAUAUAUUUGAAUAACAUAAAUAAUUGAUCCUUUAUAAAGAUUCUAAGAUCAAGUUACUUUAGGGAUAACAGCGUUAUUUUUCCUGAGAGUUCUUAUCAAAGGAAAAGUUUGCGACCUCGAUGUUGAAUUAAAAUGUCUUUAUAGUGCAGCAGCUAUAAAAGAAGGUCUGUUCGACCUUUAAUAUUUUACAUGAUUUGAGUUCAGACCGGCGGGAGCCAGG